AUAUUCAAAAUGGAUGCCCAAGCAACAGAAAAUUAGAAUUCCCUACACCUGAUUACCAACCUGACAGAGCUGAAGUCAUUUGGCUCUCCGCCUCUGGCCGUCAGCAAUGUCAGCGCUGCGGUGAUGGUACUGAUGGCCCCCAGGGGUAGGGUGCCCAAGGACCGGAGCUGGAAGGCUGCUAAGGUCACCAUGGCCAAAGUGGAUGGCUUCCUGGACUCGCUAAUAAACUUCAACAAAGAGAACAUUCACGAGAACUGCCUCAAAGCCAUCAGGCCGUAUCUGCAAGACCCCGAGUUCAAUCCUGAGUUUGUGGCCACCAAAUCCUAUGCGGCUGCAGGCCUCUGCUCCUGGGUCAUCAAUAUUGUGAGAUUUCAUGAGGUGUUCUGUGAUGUGGAACCCAAGCGCCAGGCACUGAACAAAGCCACCGCGGACCUCACAGCUGCCCAGGAGAAGCUGGCUGCCAUCAAAGCCAAGAUCGCUCACCUUAAUGAAAACCUGGCAAAGCUCACAGCCAGGUUUGAGAAAGCAACAGCAGACAAACU
rnacentral:sRNA from 1 species